rnacentral:lncRNA from 10 species
CGCACUUGCAGUCAGAACUCCGGGCCCCUCGGGGCGUGACUGCCCAGCUGUGUCACCCGGAGCAGCUCAUGCUGCUUCUAAGCUCAGCUUCCUUGUUGGCAAAGGGCCCUACUGUGUGGCACACGCCGUGCACGUCAGGACAAGCACAACGCAUGGCGCACACCACCUGCUGGGAGAGGCAAUUGUGCACUCUACAGCCACAGGGACAGGACACAGCGCGGUGAGCCCACCCGGUCCAGGAGCGCUGGGAAAGGGCCCCAGGAGAGGCAGCAGAGCUGAGACAGGACGACGACCAGGAGCGACCAGGAAGGGGAGGAGGAGAGUGCUCUGGGCAGAGGGGACAGCGUGUACAAAGGCCCGGAGUCUCAGUGUGCCACAUUGAGGUGUCACGCGCCACACUCCAUGGCAUCCACGCUACAGAUGCCAAAGGCCACGGGAAAGCGAGUUCGCCAUUCUGCUGAGGUGGGCAGGCUACUAUUCCCCGGGACGUGGCUGACACCCCUCACCUGCCCCGAUGUGCAGCUGAAGAGACCCCUCGUCCGGCCUUGGCCUCAGGGGAGGGACGAUG